GGGUUCGGGUUGGUCGUGGAUAGAUGAUGGAGGGGACUAGGGGAGUGAGAGAGGUGAGGGUCUGAGGGUCAGGUGAGUGCUACCGUCUAGAGCCGCUCAGUGGGUGGGGUGGCGGAGGCGAGAGCGGGUAUGUCAGCCGCUGGAGCAGAACGUGGCGGUGGGGUAGAGUAGGGGAGGGGUUGAGGGGAGGUGAGUAGACUGCCGCCGAUCUCUGCGUGUGUUGGCCGCUGGUUGUAGUUUGUUUCCAGCGGUGGCGGCCGCCACCUUCCUGUCAGAAGAGGGUGGCGAUCGGCGUCGGAGGCGGAGAGGGACUAGGAGCCGGAGGAGCUGGCGGCGAGCGAGAGGAUCCUUCGUGGAGCGGCGGAGGGACGGGUACGGCAGAAGCGGCUGACGGGACGAGCGCGGCUGGAACGCUUAGAGCGCCGGCGCGAACCGUCACGAGCUGAACAGGAGCGGCGGCGGUCGCCGCUGCCCAGGAAGGGCACGGAGAUGGCGGAGCCCCGGCUCAGGAGGAGAGGGGUUUAGCUGUGGGCGGGGAAACAGCUCGGACGGCACGGUCGCUGUACUCUUCCUACCACCGGCAGCUCCGAAGCCUACGCCAGCUGCGUCUACUCUUGUCAAGUAUCUCGGCAUGGUCGGGUCGUAAGACAAGUACGGUUUACUAACUCAGGACCACUCCAAGUAACGACUUGUACGUACCAGAGGCGUCCGUUCC
rnacentral:rRNA from 1 species